GGGGAAGGGCAGAGAACCUCAUAGAGGGACGGAAGAGCUCAAGGGGUAUAACUGUAGUCCCCACAAGGGCCACGGGGGCGGGGGUGGGGUGGGGUGGGGAGACGCAGUGCAGCAGGCCCCCCUGAGUCACAGUGCAGACUUGUUCAAGGUUGUGGCCACCAAGCAACUGGCUGUCUCGAAGUGUGGAUGGAUGAAAAGUAUUCGGGUGUGUCUGGUAGGGAACAUAUCUUCUGGCACCUGAGGAUACCGACGUUCCUUCGGGCACUUGUUUCAGUGUCUCAAUGGCACUGGGCUUCACCUUAAUACCACUCUACCACGCACACGGUCAUCUGGUGUUCUCUCGGUGUUCUAACUCACAAGGAAAGCAUUUUAGAGUUAAGGAUUACUUCUGGAAAAGAAUCCAAGAACUUCCUAAUAAGUGCUGAACACAGAGUCCAGUGUGUCCUCAAUCACAUGGGAAAUUUGGUGCCACCGGCUGAAGCCUCAGUCUACAGAAGGAACCUGCACCUCUCAGACACUGGCAGUGAUGAAGAGACCUGACUUUCUUUGCUCUCUAAGCCAUUGCCGUGGCCUGGUGAGUAGGCUGAGAGAUACGCUCAGAGAAAGUAUCUACCCCAGCCAUCCUGUCUCCUGAUCUUGUUCGUCUUUC
rnacentral:lncRNA from 1 species